GACACCAUGGUGUAGUGGUUUGAGUAUUAGACUGUGACUCUGGAAAUCAGGGUUCGAUUCCCAGCUCAGCCA